GCGCAUUCCUCCCUGUUCCAGGUUCUACGUCGUGGCGUCUGUUUGUAAGAUCUGGAGACAGGUCCCUAGGGUUCCCUGUGCUCCUGUGUAACAGAUUCACGUGGGGUGACUGCAAAGAUGUGUUCAUGGGAAUGUCAGUUCCCUUGUUAGAAGUAUCAGUGGAGCUGAAGGCUGUGCAAUAUACCUGUAAUCCCAGGUUCUCAAGAGUCAGAGCAAGAGAAUUCUCAAGUUUGAGGCUGGUCAAUGUAGCAAGACCCUGCCUCAAAGAGGGUGGGUAAAAGAAAGUGAUGGAGUUGGGGGGGGAAGGGAAGGGAAGGGAAGGGAAGGGAAGGGAAGGGAAGGGAAGGGUGGGGAAGGGUAGGGUAGGGAAGGGCGAAGGGAAGGGAAGGGAAGGGAAGGAAGUUCUAAUUUCCUUUCUGUUGCUAUGAUAAAACCUCUGGCCAAAAGCAACUUGGGGGAUAAAGGGUUUAUUUCAGUUUUUAAUUCUAGAUCAUAAUCCAUCAUUAAGGAUAAUAAGGGAAGAAAUUCAAGGCAGGAACUCCAAGGCAGGCCAACUUGUUCCUCCAUACAGCAUUACCUCCAAACAGGGAACUCUCAGCCACCUCUCCAGCACCAUGGCUGCCUACAUGCCACCUGCUUCCUGCUAUGAUGAUAAAGUAUAAUCCAGGCCCAGUUAAAUGUUUUAUAGGAGCUGCUGUGUCCAUGGUGUCUCUUCACAACAAUAGAAACCCCAAGACACUGUGUUUGUCACUCUCUAGGUUCCUG
rnacentral:lncRNA from 1 species